rnacentral:rRNA from 1 species
GACGAACGCUGGCGGCGUGCCUAAUACAUGCAAGUUGAGCGCUGAAGGCUGGUACUUGUACCAACUGGAUGAGCAGCGAACGGGUGAGUAACGCGUGGGGAAUCUGCCUUUGAGCGGGGGACAACAUUUGGAAACGAAUGCUAAUACCGCAUAAAAACUUUAAACACAAGUUUUAAGUUUGAAAGAUGCAAUUGCAUCACUCAAAGAUGAUCCCGCGUUGUAUUAGCUAGUUGGUGAGGUAAAGGCUCACCAAGGCGAUGAUACAUAGCCGACCUGAGAGGGUGAUCGGCCACAUUGGGACUGAGACACGGCCCAAACUCCUACGGGAGGCAGCAGUAGGGAAUCUUCGGCAAUGGCCGAAAGUCUGACCGAGCAACGCCGCGUGAGUGAAGAAGGUUUUCGGAUCGUAAAACUCUGUUGGUAGAGAAGAAAGUUGGUGAGAGUGGAAAGCUCAUCAAGUGACGGUAACUACUCAGAAAGAGACGGCUAACUACGUG